GACCGGCUAACUCCGUGCCAGCAGCCGCGGUAAGUACGGAGGGUGCGAGCGUUAAGUCGGUAAAUUACGUGGGACGUAAAGCGCAUGCGAGGCCGGCCGUGUUAAGUACAGAUGUAGAAAGCCCGGGGCUUAACCUCGGAAUUGCAUUUGAAACUGGCAGGCUAGAGUCUUGUAGAGGGGGGUAGGAAUUUCAGGUGUAGCGGUGAAAUGCGUAGAGAUCUGAAGGAAUACCAGUGGCGAAGGCGGCCCCCUGGACAAAGACUGACGCUCAGAUGCGAAAGCGUGGGGAGCAAACAGGAUUAGAUACCCUGGUAG
rnacentral:rRNA from 1 species